GUGUCAGCAGCCGCGGUAAUACGGAGGGUGCAAGCGUUAUCCGGAUUCACUGGGUUUAAAGGGUGCGUAGGUGGGUAUGUAAGUCAGAGGUGAAAUCCCCGAGCUUAACUUGGGAACUGCCUUUGAUACUAUGUAUCUUGAAUGUCGUAGAGGUUAGCGGAAUAUGUCAUGUAGCGGUGAAAUGCUUAGAUAUGACAUAGAACACCAAUUGCGAAGGCAGCUGGCUAUACGAUAAUUGACACUGAGGCACGAAAGCGUGGGUAGCAAACAGGAUUAGAUACCCUGGUAGUCCACGCCCUAAACUAUGGAUACUCGACAUACGCGAUACACAGUGUGUGUCUGAGCGAAAGCAUUAAGUAUCCCACCUGGGAAGUACGACCGCAAGGUUGAA
rnacentral:rRNA from 1 species